GAAAUGCGAUAAGUAAUGUGAAUUGCAGAGUUCAGUGAAUCAUCGAAUCUUUGAACGCACUUUGCGCUCCUUGGUAUUCCUUGGAGCAUGCCUGUUUGAGUAUCAUGAAAUCUUCAAAGUAAAUCUUUUGUUAACUCAAUUGGUUUCUACUUUGGUAUUGGAGGUCUUUGCAGCUUCACACCUGCUCCUCUUUGUUCAUUAGCUGGAUCUCAGUGUUAUGCUUGGUUCCACUCGGCGUGAUAAGUUAUCUAUCGCUGAGGACACUGUAAAAGGUGGCCAAGGUAAAUGCAGAUGAACCGCUUCUAAUAGUCCAUUGACUUGGACAAUACUUUUAUGAUCUGAUCUCAAAUCAGGUAGGACUACCCGCUGAACUUAAGC
rnacentral:misc_RNA from 1 species